AUCUAUCCUUUUUUGAGAACACAAAGAUAAAAAUGAACUUCAGAGCACCGAUUCAUAGAGUAUAUUGCUGGCAUCUGGCCAAAACCUCCUACUGUUGUACAGUAUGUCAUGAUUUGGUAAAUGUAAUAUUUUUUCACAAAUAUAUACCUUUGAUCAGUCCACACAUUCAGGUGUUAUUUUUAUAAAUUAUGGAACAAGCUAAAGUAUUGAAAAUAGUUGGCUCUCUCUUGGUGUUAGCCCAUCUAUUAAAUUGUGCAUUGUUUGUUAACAUUAAGCUAGCAGACUUUCCUGAGGCAGUUUUACAAUUUUUUUACCUAUACAAUGUGUAAUUCAGUUUAUGUUAAGUUUAAUAUCACCUGGGAGUGGCAAUAAACAGCUGGCAGCAACUUU